UUGCUAGGCAGCCCAGUAAGCACAAAGUUAUUUCGUUUGAAAGUUUAGUAGAUAAAAUAAAUUAAAUAAAAGUCAAUAUAAUCCCCAAUUAACCUGAAAUGUGGUAUGAACAGUGCAAUUAUGAAUUUAAACCAAAUAAGUGUCAGUUUGCCCCUGUUCUUUAAUGGUAUGUUCAUGGGAAAAUUUGCAAGUACUAGCUAAGUCUAUGAAUCGUACCAGGGUAUCACAAUGGGCGAACCUGGCUUCCGAGAGAACUCAUCUAUGGUGGUCAACCUCACAUCUUUUUUUCUCUUCUCUUUCUUUAUAGGGUAUCACAAUGAGCCAACCUGGGCUCCGAGUGAACUCACCUAUGGUGAGCAAUUCAUUAAGUCUAAUCUAACCUAAGCAUUUGAAAUUUUAAUGUAUAAUGGUCGUAUUCCCAAAACUUAAAGUAGAUUUAAACCUACUCAAAAAACUGAUUUAAGUUUUGUGAAUACCGGUGUAAAUGUUUAAAAACACUUCUAUUCGUAAGACUGUUCAGCUUCUUUAACCUAUAUACAAUGUUGCUCUUUUUCCAAAAUAAAUUUCCCAGUCUUCCACCAAA